CAAGAUGUAGCUUUAAAAAAAGCACUCAGCUUACACCUGAGAGAUAUCCGAUAGCCCCGGAUCGUCUUGA
rnacentral:tRNA from 2 species